rnacentral:rRNA from 1 species
ACUUAAGCAUAUCAAUAAGCGGAGGAAAAGAAACCAACAGGGAUUGCCUUAGUAACGGCGAGUGAAGCGGCAACAGCUCAAAUUUGAAAUCUGGCCCCGUCGGGGUCCGAGUUGUAAUUUGUAGAGAGUGUUUCGGGCGAGACCACGGUCUAAGUCUAUUGGAACAUGGCGUCAUAGAGGGUGAGAAUCCCGUAUGUGACCGUGGCUCGAGCCCAUGUGAAGCCUCUUCGACGAGUCGAGUUGUUUGGGAAUGCAGCUCAAAAUGGGUGGUAAAUUUCAUCUAAAGCUAAAUACUGGCUGGAGACCGAUAGCGCACAAGUAGAGUGAUCGAAAGAUGAAAAGCACUUUGGAAAGAGAGUCAAAAAGUACGUGAAAUUGUUGAAAGGGAAGCGCUUGCAACCAGACCUGUCCGUAGGUGAUCAGCCGCUGUUCUCAGUGGUGCACUCGCUCUGCGAUCAGGCCAGCAUCGGUUCCGGCGGUCGGAUAAAGGCCUUGGGAAUGUAGCUCCCUUCGGGGAGUCUUAUAGCCCUCGGUGCAAUGCGGCCAGCCGGGACCGAGGACCGCGCUUCGGCUAGGAUGCUGGCGUAAUGGUUGUAAGCGACCCGUCUUGAAACACGGACCAAGGAGUCUAACAUCUAUGCGAGUGUUUGGGUGUUAAACCCAUGCGCGGAAUGAAAGUGAACGGAGGUGAGAACCCUUUAGGGCGCAUCAUCGACCGAUCCAGAUGUCUUCGGAUGGAUUUGAGUAUGAGCAUAGCUGUUGGGACCCGAAAGAUGGUGAACUAUGCCUGAAUAGGGUGAAGCCAGAGGAAACUCUGGUGGAGGCUCGCAGCGGUUCUGACGUGCAAAUCGAUCGUCAAAUUUGGGUAUAGGGGCGAAAGACUAAUCGAACCAUCUAGUAGCUGGUUCCUG